UGCGGAGGGGGCUAGCGUUGUUCGGAAUUACUGGGCGUAAAGCGCGCGUAGGCGGCUUUGUAAGUUAGAGGUGAAAGCCCGGAGCUUAACUCCGGAACUGCCUUUAAGACUGCAUCGCUAGAAUCGUGGAGAGGUGAGUGGAAUUCCGAGUGUAGAGGUGAAAUUCGUAGAUAUUCGGAAGAACACCAGUGGCGAAAGCAGCUCUCUGGGACGGUACUGACGCUGAGACGCGAAAGCGUGGGGAGCGAACAGG
rnacentral:rRNA from 1 species